GUGAGAGAUGUUGACAUGAACACUAAUGUGUCACAUCUAUAUUACACUGAUAUUGACUAUGAACACCAUCAUAAAUUGAUUAUUAUAUUUUAAAUGUUGUGGUAAAAGUAAAUGUAGUAGAGUAUUGUGUAUUAACAGCAGUGAAAUAUGUCUCAUGUUCAUACUCAGGCUUAUACUAAAACAAAAGAGUUCAGUUUUACUGCGCUAAAGUAUUUCCUAUGAGUUAAAUAAUGUUUUUCAUCUCUGUUUCAGAAUAUACUAUGGUUAAUAAGAAGAUGGACAUAACAGCAUGAUAAAGACCCUCUGGAGAAUUCCCUCUGCUGGGCCAAGUUCCAAAAAUGUAGAGACAGACCCUCUAAAAUGCUGUGGUGGAGUUUAAAGACUGACCCUGUAUGCUGUGAGAAAGGGGAAGUCCAGAGCUGGACACUGACAGACUGGAUCUUCACCAGUAGGACUGAAGAGGAGCCAGCCUCACUACACCUCUGCCUCAAAACCUCUGCCUCAGACUGAAGCUAAAGACAGAGGCUCUGAAGCUCCCACACUGCACACUCUAUAAGAACAACCAUCCGUCUAAUUGUACUGUGGUGGUAAACACAAGUAAAGUUUUAGUUUUAACAGUAUGGUAUG